GAAUUCAAAGCAGCAACUGAGUACUCAGCACUGAGUACUCUGCGUACACAGCUGAGAGAACGACGUGCUGUAACUCAACCAGCAGCUGCGUCGGCAAAUACGUUAUUUUUCUGUAUGGGUGAGUGGAACGUAAGCAGAUGCCUUGUGGCUGGCAGACUCUCAGUAGUUUCUUACAAGGCAGCUAAAGCGAGACAGCAUGUUUGACGAGGAGCGACGGCUACAGCCGGUUCAGACAUACGCACACGCACACACAAGCGAAUGCACACAUUUCCAGUUAAUUAAAAGUAUUUAUGACAUUGCACACACACGCGUGCGUCACACACAUACAGAUAUAUACAAAUUCCUUGAGUACAAAAGUCCACAAGGAUCGUGGGAAGUUCCAUGCACAAACGAUCGCAAAAUAUUGUGCUAUCUAUGAGCUAAAAAAAAAAAAAAAAAAUCACGUAAAGAGAAAAAACCUAGCAUGCAUACAAGAGAGCAGUCUGCAAGGAAAGAAGAAGAACGUGGGGUGGGUAGCUCCUCAGCCCUAAGGGUGACGCUGUGAGAAAAGAUGGCAAAAAAAAAAAAAAAAAGGCACACACACACUGUUAAGCAGACGCUGUCUACUCAGCCCGAAAUGACGGGCCAAACUUCUCUAAAAAAAAAAAACUAAAGGAUAACAGCAUCUUAGGAGACUGCCUGGCUGUGGGGUCAUAAGAAGCAAAAGCGCAAAAAAAAAAAAAAAAAAAAAAUUCUGUCGAAAUUUAAAAAGGAAUUGUAGCAUGGAAGUUAAGUUACGUUUCCGAUAGGGCCAGGAAUAGAGCAUAUGAAUUGUCUGCUGGAUUUUUGAGGUAGGAUACAUACAUAUAUGUAUGUAUAAAAGCUUCCGGAUAAUUUAUUUGACUGAGUCAUAUAAACAACUCAUUUCUAGUCAAAAAAUAGCUUAAAUGAAUUUGUCCGAAAUCAAUGUAAGGACUACAAAAGAAAGGUUUAAAUCACCGUACGAAAUCUGCCCAGGGCUGACUAAAGCAGAACGAACCAGAAGAAUGAGUGAGAAUGAACGUCCUUAUAAUCGGCAAUCUCAUAGUCGUCGGCUUCGCCAUCGGCGAUUGCAGCAACCCCUUUUCCAGUGGGGCGCAAAAUAAUUUGUACAGACACUGCCUCUUCCUCCGCCUCGUCCUUCUCUGCUCUGCCGCAACGACAACGACAACGACAACGGCUUCGGCCUUUGCCUUUGCCUGCUGUGGCCUCUGCAUCUCCAAGGGCCAUAUACAGGCGACAUGGGAAAUGAAUGAGAGCUAUUGGAGAGAUGUCGACGACGUCGACGACGACGACAGAAGCGAAGUUGACGCUGCCGGCACAGCCGCGGAAUGCAAUCAACUUGAAAACAACUUGAGAGUCUUAGUGACGGCGAUAUUUAAAUUUUGAAAAAAGUAAAUAAGCAAGAGUGCUUCAGUCGGGAAUGCCUGACCAGGAUACCCUCGUCGGCGACAGAUACAAUCGAUAGUCAUGCGCAUAGUACGGACAGGGCUAGAUCCACUGGAGUCGUUCUCCUGAUCAAGGAUAUACAUACAUAUAUUAUUAAUAUAUAUACAUUUAUGCGCUUCCUUCAGCCUGUUACAUACAUUUUGACAAAGUCGUUGAACCCUGUUUCGUCAUUUUCAAUGGGUCCAGGGUAUAUAAACGGAAGGGACAUUAAAGUUAGAAAGGUUGACGUUGACGUUUACGUCCCUGCACGUUUGACAGAAUGUCAGUCAUAAUAUUGAUUGUUUAGUUGCCGUUAUUAUUAUUAAUGUAAUUAUCGUUGUCCCUGUGUAUGUGUAGUUUUUUCUUCUACAUUCUUAGGGCUACCAACUUUCAAGAAGGUCUGUGUUUAUGUCUGCGUAAAUUUUAAAAAUUUAUUAUUGAAUUCGCCGAGAGGGAAAAUAUAAAUCAUAUAAUAGAAACCCAGAGUUUCGGAUAUAUGUUAUUGUACAUAUGUAUAUUGUAGGGGCAACUAUCCAGAUUGCAUAUUUAUUUAAAUUACAUAUAAUAAAUUACAAAAUAUUUAUAUUUAAAUUAAGGUAAAUAUAACAUAAUUACAAUAUAUACAAAAUUAAACGAAACUUUCUUUUUAGAAAUGAACAUGAAAUAAACAUUCACUCUAUAAAAUAUGGCUAGAAAAACGGCCGUUCGAGUCUGACUUGGACUUGGACCUGGACUCUGAUACCGGCUCGAUUCUAGUCAACUUUGUUUUUAGUUCACUGUCACUGAACCUCUCGCAAAACCAUAAAUAGCGAGCUGAUGUCUGUCCACAUGUAUAUACAAAAAUUAUUUCUACAUCUGAAGCUGAUUGUUAUUUAUAAUUACUCGUCUCAAAGAACUGGAGAAUGACUUGGCAUGUCCGAAAGCAGUUUAGAACAAUUAGAAAUCAGCUCAGAAGUAAUUUUCGCAGUUGAUCAGGGUAGAUAUAAAAUGAUCGAAUUGUUCCAUUUUUGUACCCAUAUAUAUAUAAGUAAUUGUGAGGGGAUCUCCACAAGAAUGAACAACACAAUUGUAAUUUUCA